GACGAACGCUGGCGGCGUGCUUAACACAUGCAAGUCGAACGGUGAAGCGCCUUCCUUUUUGGUGGGUGUGGAUGAGUGGCGAACGGGUGAGUAACACGUGAGUAACCUGCCCCCUUCUUCUGGAUAACCGCAUGAAAGUGUGGCUAAUACGGGAUAUUCUGGGUCUGUCGCAUGAUGGGUCUGGGAAAGAUAUUGUUUCGGUGGGGGAUGGGCUCGCGGCCUAUCAGCUUGUUGGUGGGGUGAUGGCCUACCAAGGCGGUGACGGGUAGCCGGCCUGAGAGGGUGGACGGUCACACAGGGACUGAGACACGGCCCAGACUCCGACGGGAGGCAGCAGUGGGGAAUAUUGCACAAUGGGCGCAAGGCUGAUGCAGCGACGCCGCGUGAGGGAUGGAGGCCUGCGGGUUGUGAACCUCUUUCGCCAGUGAAGCAGGCCUGCCUCGUUUGUGGGUGGGUUGACGGUAGCUGGAUAAGAAGCGCCGGCUAACUACGUG
rnacentral:rRNA from 1 species